UACGAAGGGGACUAGCGUUGUUCGGAAUUACUGGGCGUAAAGCGCACGUAGGCGGCUUUGUAAGUCAGGGGUGAAAUCCCGGGGCUCAACUUCGGAACUGCCUUUGAUACUGCAAAUCUCGAGUCCGAUAGAGGUGAGUGGAAUUCCUAGUGUAGAGGUGAAAUUCGUAGAUAUUAGGAAGAACACCGGUGGCGAAGGCGGCCCACUGGAUCGGUACUGACGCUGAGGUGCGAAAGCGUGGGGAGCAAACAGG
rnacentral:rRNA from 1 species